GGGAAAGUGGCUCAGUGGUAGAGUACUUGCCUUGCAUGCAUAAGGCCCUGGGUUCAAUUCCUCAGCACCA
rnacentral:tRNA from 1 species